GCGCAGCAGUCGAGAAACCUUCGCAAUGCGGGAAACCGCGACGAGGGGACUCCCAGUGCCUACGCUCAGCGUAGGCUGUUCCCGAGCCUAGAAAGCUCGGGGAGUAAGGGCUGGGUAAGACGGGUGCCAGCCGCCGCGGUAAUACCCGCAGCCCGAGUGGUGGCCACUAUUAUUGGGCCUAAAGCGUCCGUAGCCGGCCCGGUAAAUGCCUGGGUAAAUCGUGAGGCCUAACCUCACGAAUUCCGGGUAGACUGCCGGGCUAGGGGACCGGAGGAGGGAGAGGGUACUCCAGGGGUAGGGGUGAAAUCCUGUAAUCCCUGGAGGACCACCGGUGGCGAAGGCGCUCUCCUAGGACGGGUCCGACGGUGAGGGACGAAAGCCAGGGGAGCGAACCGGAUUAGAUACCCGCGUAGU
rnacentral:rRNA from 1 species